AGCUCUCCAAUACCGGUGCCGGCUUCGAAAUAAAGUGUUAUUGGAUGUAACUUAAAUGAGAAAUCAAGCUCCAGGAAGAGCUUAAUCUUGUUUUCAUAGAGCCAAGAGAAAAUCCUACCUGAAUUCUGGAUUGGUAACUUUAGAUAGUUUCUUUUUCCAUUUCCCACUGUAUAUACCACCUUGUACUGCACUUUUUAUUAAUAUAUUGCAGUAGGCAUUUUGCCUACUGUAGGUUCCUCAAAAAAGGAAAAUCAACCUUCCAACUGGGAGCAUCAAAAUCUUUGCCCUUUUCCUUACUUCCCUACUUCUGGAUAUCUCUAAUCGGCCAGUUUGCUUGCAGCCAGCUAAAAAAGUUCAGAAAUCCUAGUUGCUAGUCAUAUCAGAAGAGCAUGAAACAAAAUAAAAUGCGCUAGACAUUCCUGAUUAGUGCCACAACAUCCAUGCUUCGCAACAGCUAUACUUGCUACUGAAAGUUUUUUUUAGAAAAAAACCCCUCUUUGUACUGACAGUGGACCGAAAAUUUAUUCACAUUAGUACAAGACAAGCUAACCUAUGAUGACUAAGAAAUUGCAUACAUAUAAAACAAUGGCAGAUACAGAAAUGCAUAUCUAUAUGACGGAAAUAAUCGAAUAUACUAACUUGAUAGCCACCUCCUCGCCGCUCUGUAUUUUCAUGCCUGCAACCAAUUUAAUUGACCUUAUCAUAAAUAACUGAAACCGGACAGGCAACACACCAGCUGGAGCAAUGCGCAGCAUGAACUCAGAAAAAAUAGCCUCACCUUGCAGAUAAAACAGGAGAACCUGACGGGAGAUAGCCACUUGAGCCUGCCUGAACAGAACAAAGAGAACAGUUUCCUUAACUGAAACCCUUACUUGGGAAGGGAAGUAAUAAGAGAUCUCGGUAGUGAAAUGAUAGGAAAUAUGCAAAAAUUGCUAGGUUUUGGCCCUACUGAGGAGCGAAAAUUCAGAAAAGAAAGGAAAUAUUCCAUGCAUAAAAGCCUAUCAUCAAAGUUGGGCCAUAUUCCAAUAAGAAAAUAAAGGGAGGUGAUUCAAAACAAGGGAAAGUAGUGAUUGAACUAUAUUGGAAUCCAAUCAGAACUCAGGAAUUGUGGGAAGGCCAAGGAAUCUAUAUGGAUAUCUAGAUUCAAUAAAUUCUCUAUUCCAACCAGAAAAAAAGAACAAUAACAAGGAGACAAUCCUACUCCACUUGAAUUCCAGAAGAUACUGUACAUUUUAACGAAUGCAACGCAAGCAAGGGAAAGCAAAACAAAAAAAAUAAUAUCAAUCGAUCAUACUCCAAGCAUCAACAGCCUUUAGUGCUUCCAGAAAAUCCGUAAAAAGAGCAUCAACAGGUUUACCAAAGGCGUG
rnacentral:lncRNA from 1 species